rnacentral:rRNA from 1 species
GACGAACGCUGGCGGCGGGCGGAACACAUGCAAGUCGAACGGAAAGGCCCUGCUUUUGUGGGGUGCUCGAGUGGCGAACGGGUGAGUAACACGUGAGUAACCUGCCCUUGACUUUGGGAUAACUUCAGGAAACUGGGGCUAAUACCGGAUAGGAGCUCCUGCUGCAUGGUGGGGGUUGGAAAGUUUCGGCGGUUGGGGAUGGACUCGCGGCUUAUCAGCUUGUUGGUGGGGAAGUGGCUUACCAAGGCUUUGACGGGUAGCCGGCCUGAGAGGGUGACCGGCCACAUUGGGACUGAGAUACGGCCCAGACUCUUACGGGAGGCAGCAGUGGGGAAUAUUGCACAAUGGGCGGAAGCCUGAUGCAGCAACGCCGCGUGCGGGAUGACGGCCUUCGGGUUGUAAACCGCUUUCGCCUGUGACGAAGCGUGAGUGACGGUAAUGGGUAAAGAAGCACCGGCUAACUACGUG